rnacentral:rRNA from 1 species
AGAGUUUGAUUAUGGCUCAGGACGAACGCUGGCGGCGUGCCUAACACAUGCAAGUCGAACGGAGAUAUUUAGAAGCUUGCUUUUGGAUAUCUUAGUGGCGGACGGGCGAGUAACGCGUGAGCAACCUGUCCUUCAGAGGGGGACAACGGCUGGAAACGGCCGCUAAUACCGCAUGACAUAUCCGGAUGGCAUCGUCUGGAUAUCAAAGGAGAAAUCCGCUGAAGGGUGGGCUCGCGUCCGAUUAGCUAGUUGGUAGGGUAACGGCCUACCAAGGCGACGAUCGGUAGCCGAACUGAGAGGUUGAUCGGCCGCAUUGGGACUGAGACACGGCCCAG